UUAUAUUAAGCAUUAUUAACGCUUAAUAAUAGUCAGACUAAUUAAUUUGUUGCAGUUAUCGUUGGACUAAGCCCUAGUGGUAUUGGUACUAGGUUUUAUCGAAGGAAUAUUGGUUUGAGAGUAUCGAAGCGCUGUCCGAGUGCUGAGUCACCACCUACUCAGGUGAGUGCAUAGUCCCUUUCAUCUUACACAUAGAUAUGAAGUAUUUUAUAUAAACUACGUGCUAUGUGUGCAUAUUAUCUGAAUACUUGUUGUCUAUGCUGGAUGAACGUUUUAUACAUGUUUUAAAGGAUUUAAACUGUAUACGUAUUUUAUAUAUAUGAAUAUGUUGGGUAUGAGAUGGGUAGAUGAAUGAUGAGAGAUAGAAGAUGACGUGAGUAUACAUUGGCAGCUAUAGACUUAGUGCCUAUGGGACAAACACCGGUAGCUAUGGACUUAGUACCUUUUAGACGUUGGUAGCUAUGGAUUUAGUACCUGUUGGGAAUUGGUAGCUAUGGACUUAGUACCUAUUAGUUAGACGCUGGUAGCUAUGGAUUUAGUACCUGUUAGGAAUUGGUAGCUAUGGACUUAGUACCUAUUGAACACUGGUAGCUAUGGAUUUAGUACCCGAUGAGUAGGAUAUAGCAGCUAUGGAUUUAGUGCUUUACGAACGAACAUCGGCAGCUAUGGAUUUAGUGCCAGUCCUAUAACCCUGGAAGUAAGGGACUUCGGAAUAAACGAAUGCAGGAUAGAUGACUCUUAGGUUAAAUCCUUAAGAGUAAAGAAGAUAACGGGGAUGGGUAAUUGGGUUAAUUGUUUGAUGAUUG
rnacentral:lncRNA from 1 species